rnacentral:pre_miRNA from 1 species
GCUGCCGCUCGUACCCACUGCUGGCGCCUGGCGCCGGUCCCAAUCGCAUGGCGCCAUCAGUGGGUGCGAGCGGCGGCUG